rnacentral:rRNA from 1 species
UACGAAGGUCCCAAGCGUUAUCCGGAUUUAUUGGGUUUAAAGGGUGCGUAGGCGGGCUAUUAAGUCAGUGGUGAAAGCCCCAAGCUUAACUUGGGAACUGCCAUUGAUACUGAUGGUCUUGAGUACAUUUGAGGUGGGCGGAAUGUGUCAUGUAGCGGUGAAAUGCUUAGAUAUGACACAGAACACCGAUUGCGAAGGCAGCUCACUAAACUGUAACUGACACUGAGGCACGAAAGCGUGGGGAGCAAACAGG